GCCCUUCAACAAAGGGGGCACAUGCAGAUGAGACUCCGUCCACCCCAGGCAGCUUUCCUGAGCCCUGGAGGACAGGCUUGAAAUGACUCCUAGGCUUCUGGUGACCCUUGUCACCUAUCUGCCCAGAAUACUCAGUACCUCUCAAUGACCCUCAGACGCUGUAGGAAGAGGAUUGGUUCACCUUUUAACCCAGAAUUUCUCACAUUGAAUGGACAGGAUGCAUUCCAAGAGGCCAGAGUAUGUGCAUCUCAGCUCCUGAUGGUUUCCACCACCACCAUUACUUUCUCUAUGUCAAGAUACCUG
rnacentral:lncRNA from 1 species